GCCGGGCGUGGUGGCGGGCGCCUGUAGUCCCAGCUACUCCGGAGGCUGAGGCAGGAGAAUGGCGUGAACCCAGGAGGCGGAGCUUGCAGUGAGCCGAGAUCCCGCCGCUGCACUCCAGCCUGGGUGACAGAGCGAGACUCCAUCUCAAAAAAAGAAAGGCUUUUUUUUUUUUUUUUUUUUUUUUUGAGACAGAGUCUCACUCUUGUUGCCCAGGCUGGAGUGCAGUGGCGCGAUCUCGGCUCACUGCAACCUCCGUCUCCCGGGUUCAAGUGAUUCUCCUGCCUCAG
rnacentral:SRP_RNA from 1 species